rnacentral:rRNA from 1 species
CAAGUCGAACGAGAAAGUGGAGCAAUCCAUGAGUAAAGUGGCGUACGGGUGAGUAACACGUGGAUAAUCUACCCUCUAGUGGGGAAUACCGCUGGGAAACCGGCGACAAUACCGCAUAAGCUCGAGAGAGGAAAGCAGCAAUGCGCUGGAGGAGGAGUCCGCGGCUGAUUAGCUAGUUGGUGAGGUAAAGGCUCACCAAGGCAGAGAUCAGUAGCCGGCCUGAGAGGGCACACGGCCACACUGGCACUGAAACACGGGCCAGACUCCUACGGGAGGCAGCAGUGGGGAAUCUUGCACAAUGGGGGAAACCUUGAUGCAGCGACGCCGCGUGAGCGAUGAAGCCCUUCGGGGUGUAAAGCUCUUUCGGCAGGGAAGAUGAUGACGGUACCUGCAGAAGCAGCUGCGGCUAACUACGUGCCAGCAGCCGCGGUAAUACGUAGGCAGCAAGCGUUGUUCGGAGUUACUGGGCGUAAAGGGUGUGUAGGCGGUUGGAUAAGUGUGGUGUGAAAUCUCCCGGCUUAACUGGGAGGGUGCGCUACAAACUGUCUGACUAGAGUGUGGGAUGGGUAAGUGGAAUUCCUGGUGUAGCGGUGAAAUGCGUAGAUAUCAGGAGGAACACCGGUGGUGUAGACGGCUUACUGGACCAUAACUGACGCUGAGACACGAAAGCGUGGGUAGCAAACAGGAUUAGAUACCCUGGUAGUCCACGCCCUAAACGAUGCAUAUUUGGUGUGGGUCAUUCAUUUGAUCCGUGCCGGAGCUAACGCGUUAAAUAUGCCGCCUGGGGAGUACAGUCGCAAGGCUGAAACUCAAAGGAAUUGACGGGGGCCCGCACAAGCGGUGGA